rnacentral:rRNA from 1 species
GAUGAACGCUGGCGGCGUGCCUAAUACAUGCAAGUCGAGCGAACGGACGAGAAGCUUGCUUCUCUGAUGUUAGCGGCGGACGGGUGAGUAACACGUGGAUAACCUACCUAUAAGACUGGGAUAACUUCGGGAAACCGGAGCUAAUACCGGAUGAUAUUUUGAACCGCAUGGUUCAAAAGUGAAAGACGGUCUUGCUGUCAUUUAUAGAUGGGUCCGCGCUGCAUUAGCUAGUUGGUAAGGUAACGGCUUACCAAGGCAACGAUGCAUAGCCGACCUGAGAGGGUGAUCGGCCACACUGGAACUGAGACACGGUCCAGACUCCUACGGGAGGCAGCAGUAGGGAAUCUUCCGCAAUGGGCGAAAGCCUGACGGAGCAACGCCGCGUGAGUGAUGAAGGUCUUCGGAUCGUAAAACUCUGUUAUUAGGGAAGAACAUAUGUGUAAGUAACUGUGCACAUCUUGACGGUACCUAAUCAGAAAGCCACGGCUAACUACGUG